UAUUACUCUUAUUGUUUAUUCGCUUAAUACCGGAACAGUACAAAGAUGAUGACGCCAUCUUCCGAAUGGUUAAUACCUAUUCAUUUACGAUUAAUCAGUCACAACUAACAAUAAAUACCGUCAUCAUUUAAAUGUCAGCUUCUAAUAAUUUUAUAACAUUGUAUCGUUUUUAUUGUGAUUAUUAUUUGUUGGAGUACCGGAAGAGCAUAAAGAUGGAGACACCAUCUUCCGAAUAGUUUAUACUAAUUUUCUGAUUGGUCAUUCGCCAUCUUUGUUAUGUAUUGGCGGAAUUGUUGUCCUAUAAAUAUGAUAAUUUGUAUGUGAAGAAGCAGCUAUGCUUAAUUAUUCCGGCUAACGUUGCUACUCGAUACAUGGAGUAUAAGUGAUUAGUGUGACAACUUAAUCAAUAUAGUUAAGAGUGUGUAUUGUGAAUAAAUAACUAUAGAUUUGAAGUGAGAAGAUUCCACUUUGUUUACAAAUAAUGACCAGAAAAAAAAUUGCUUCAACUAGCCCGAAAAAAAUGCCUAUGAAACUGAAACCAACAUAGGCAAAGACAAGGAAAAUUGUCUAGCAUCAUCACUACUAAUUCAGCAACCAUAGACUUCAGGUUUAAACACUAAAAA